UAGUCCACGCCGUAAACGAUGGUCACUAGCUGUUCGAACUUCGGUUUGAGUGGCUAAGCGAAAGUGAUAAGUGUCCCACCUGGGGAGUACGUUCGCAAGAAUGAAACUCAAAGGAGUUGACGGGGGCCCGCACAAGCGGUGGAGCAUGUGGUUUAAUUCGAUGAUACGCGAGGAACCUUACCUAGGCUCGAACGCUACUGGACAGGAUUUGAAAGGAUUUUUCCCUUCGGGGUCAGUAGUGAGGUGCUGCAUGGUUGUCGUCAGCUCGUGCCGUGAGGUGUUGGGUUAAGUCCCGCAACGAGCGCAACCCUUAUUCUUAGUUGCCAGCACAUAAUGGUGGGGACUCUAGGAAGACUGCCGGCGUAAGCCGUGAGGAAGGUGGGGACGACGUCAAAUCAUCAUGGCCUUUAUGCCUAGGGCUACACACGUGCUACAAUGGUGCAUACAGCGGGUAGCGAAAUCGCGAGGUGGAGCUAAUCUUGUAAAGUGCAUCCCAGUUCGGAUCGG
rnacentral:rRNA from 1 species